AUUGAACGCUAGCGGGAUGCUUUACACAUGCAAGUCGAACGGCAGCGCGGACUUCGGUCUGGCGGCGAGUGGCGAACGGGUGAGUAAUGUAUCGGAACGUGCCCAGUAGCGGGGGAUAACUACGCGAAAGCGUAGCUAAUACCGCAUACGCCCUACGGGGGAAAGCAGGGGAUCGUAAGACCUUGCACUAUUGGAGCGGCCGAUAUCGGAUUAGCUAGUUGGUGAGGUAACGGCUCACCAAGGCGACGAUCCGUAGCUGGUUUGAGAGGACGACCAGCCACACUGGAACUGAGCCACGGCCCAGACUCCUACGGGAGGCAGCAGUGGGGAAUUUUGGACAAUGGGGCAACCCUGAUCCAGCCAUCCCGCGUGUGCGAUGAAGGCCUUCGGGUUGUAAAGCACUUUUGGCAGGAAAGAAACGUCGCGGGCUAAUACCCCGUGGAACUGACGGUACCUGCAGAAUAAGCACCGGCUAACUACGUG
rnacentral:rRNA from 1 species